rnacentral:rRNA from 1 species
AGUGAACGCUGGCGGUAUGCCUAACACAUGCAAGUCGAACGGCAGCACAGUAAGAGCUUGCUCUUCCGGGUGGCGAGUGGCGGACGGGUGAGGAAUACAUCGUAAUCUACUUUUUCGUGGGGGAUAACGUAGGGAAACUUAAUCUAAUACCGCAUACGACCUACGGGUGAAAGCAUGGGAUCUUCUGACCUUGCGCGAUUGAAUGAGCCGAUUUCGGAUUAGCUAGUUGGCGGGGUAAUGGCCCACCAAGGCGACGAUCCGUAGCUGGUCUGAGAGGAUGAUCAGCCACACUGGAACUGAGACACGGUCCAGACUCCUAAGGGAGGAAGCAGUGGGGAAUAUUGGACAAUGGGCGCAAGCCUGAUCCAGCCAUACCGCGUGGGUGAAGAAGGCCUUCGGGUUGUAAAGCCCUUUUGUUGGGAAAGAAAAGCAGCAGGUUAAUACCCCGCUGUUCUGACGGUACCCAAAGAAUAAGCACCGGCUAACUUCGUG